UUGACCCCGGCUCACGUAGGAAUACCCCGCUGAACUUAACAUAUCAAUACCCGGACGAAAGGGCGAAUUCU
rnacentral:rRNA from 1 species